rnacentral:rRNA from 1 species
GUGGGGAAUAUUGCACAAUGGGGGAAACCCUGAUGCAGCGACGCCGCGUGAGUGAAGAAGUAUUUCGGUAUGUAAAGCUCUAUCAGCAAGGAAGAAACAAAUGACGGUACUUGACUAAGAAGCCCCGGCUAACUACGUGCCAGCAGCCGCGGUAAUACGUAGGGGGCAAGCGUUAUCCGGAUUUACUGGGUGUAAAGGGAGCGUAGACGGUUGUGUAAGUCUGAAGUGAAAUCCCCCGGCUCAACCGGGGAACUGCUUUGGAAACUAUACGACUAGAGUGCAGGAGAGGUAAGUGGAAUUCCUAGUGUAGCGGUGAAAUGCGUAGAUAUUAGGAGGAACACCAGUGGCGAAGGCGGCUUACUGGACUGUAACUGACGUUGAGGCUCGAAAGCGUGGGGAGCAAACAGG